GACGAACGCUGGCGGCGUGCUUAACACAUGCAAGUCGAACGGUAAGGCUCCAGCUUGCUGGGGUACACGAGUGGCGAACGGGUGAGUAACACGUGGGUGACCUGCCCUGCACUUCGGGAUAAGCCUGGGAAACUGGGUCUAAUACCGGAUAGGACCGCACCGUGAGGGUGUGGUGGAAAGUUUUUUCGGUGUGGGAUGGGCCCGCGGCCUAUCAGCUUGUUGGUGGGGUAAUGGCCUACCAAGGCGGCGACGGGUAGCCGGCCUGAGAGGGUGGACGGCCACAUUGGGACUGAGACACGGCCCAGACUCCUACGGGAGGCAGCAGUGGGGAAUAUUGCACAAUGGGCGGAAGCCUGAUGCAGCGACGCCGCGUGGGGGAUGACGGCCUUCGGGUUGUAAACUCCUUUCACCAUCGACGAAGGGUUUCUGACGGUAGAUGGAGAAGAAGCACCGGCUAACUACGUGCCAGCAGCCGCGGUAAUACGUAGGGUGCGAGCGUUGUCCGGAAUUACUGGGCGUAAAGAGCUCGUAGGUGGUUUGUCGCGUCGUCUGUGAAAUUCCGGGGCUUAACUCCGGGCGUGCAGGCGAUACGGGCAUAACUUGAGUACUGUAGGGGAGACUGGAAUUCCUGGUGUAGCGGUGAAAUGCGCAGAUAUCAGGAGGAACACCGGUGGCGAAGGCGGGUCUCUGGGCAGUAACUGACGCUGAGGAGCGAAAGCAUGGGGAGCGAACAGGAUUAGAUACCCUGGUAGUCCAUGCCGUAAACGGUGGGCGCUAGGUGUGGGUUUCCUUCCACGGGAUCCGUGCCGUAGCUAACGCAUUAAGCGCCCCGCCUGGGGAGUACGGCCGCAAGGCUAAAACUCAAAGGAAUUGACGGGGGCCCGCACAAGCGGCGGAGCAUGUGGAUUAAUUCGAUGCAACGCGAAGAACCUUACCUGGGCUUGACAUAUACAGGAUCGCGCCAGAGAUGGUGUUUCCCUUGUGGCUUGUAUACAGGUGGUGCAUGGUUGUCGUCGGCUCGUGUCGUGAGAUGUUGGGUUAAGUCCCGCAACGAGCGCAACCCUUGUCUUAUGUUGCCAGCACGUUGUGGUGGGGACUCGUAAGAAACUGCCGGGGUUAACUCGGAGGAAGGUGGGGAUGACGUCAAAUCAUCAUGCCCCUUAUGUCCAGGGCUUCACACAUGCUACAAUGGUCGGUACAGUGGGUUGCCAGUCCGUGAGGGCGAGCUAAUCCCGCAAAGCCGGUCUCAGUUCGGAUCGGGGUCUGCAACUCGACCCCGUGAAGUCGGAGUCGCUAGUAAUCGCAGAUCAGCAACGCUGCGGUGAAUACGUUCCCGGGCCU
rnacentral:rRNA from 1 species